CUGAGACAUACUUUAUCAAUUUAGAAAGUUUAUUUUUCCAAGGUUAAGGAUAUAUACAUGACACAGCUUCAGGAGGUGCUGAUGACAAUUGCCUAAAGUGGUUGUGGUACAACUUGCUUUUAUACAUUUUAGAGAGACAUGAGACAUUAGUUAAUAUGUAUAGGAUGUACAUUGGUUUGAUCAGGAAAGGUAGAACAACUCGAAGUGGAGGCUUCCAGGUCAUAGGUAGAUAGAAAAACUGUUGCAUUCUUUAGAGUCUUUGAUCAGCCUUUCACUGAAUACACAAUUUAUGUGAGAGGGAGGUAGAGGAAUAGUCACUUAUGCCUUAGUGUGGCUCAGUGUAACUGCAUUUUACAUAAACAAUAGGGCAGAGAAGGCAAUGAGAUAUGCAUUUUUCUCAGGUGAGCAGAGGGAUGACUUUGAGUUCUGUCCUUUGUCCUGCAGCUGUGAAGAUAAGCUAUCAAUUUACAUUGCGAGGGUGAAAUUCAACAGAACUGUUUUAAGGUAAAGAUCUUGAGGCCCACAAGGAAUUUUCCUGUGGGCAAAUUGUGAGGGCAGGGUUGACAACAAAGGGAUGCACAGGAUAAUUGUCAGGGUAAUGUAACUAUUCUGUGUGACACUGAAGUGUUUCACAAGUUGCUUGUGGUAGUGUCUAACGAAGUAUCAACUCUCACAGUAACUGUGGAGAAGUGAAGCAGAGCUCGAUGGUGCAAUAGGAUCCUCCAGUGAUUGACCCCCUGAAGAAACAUCAAUUUGAAUGGCUUUUAAUGCAAGACAAUACCUUCCCAACAGCUAAGAAAAACAGGUGAAAGAUCACAGUACCUGAUUUUAGCAUAAUAACAAAAAAGAUGCAUUGAAGAGUGUAGGAAGGACAAUCUUGCAUUGCCUGCAUCAAUGCUCCCUGAACACCAGGCAUAAUGAAAAGAAACACCAUCCAAUUGGAGGAGGGAGAAGGAAGUGUGCCUGAGACUGUGCCUUGGAAGCCAGUGCCAGGUAUGCCACAGUAAAACACAGCACUGGGUAGAAACCCCAUCAUCCCUGAUUUCAGAGUGGUGAUCAUGAAAAGAGCUUCUAGACCUGCCUCAAUGUCAGAAGGGAAUCUGUCACCCAAGCAGAAUGGACUUGAGUCCCUGCCCACAUCAUCACCAGCUGAUUUAAGUGGCUCAGUGCAAAUGAAUUUUAGUGCCAGAAUGGCAAACUUAGGCAUAGGGUGUCCUCUAGUGCUGAAAUGGCUGCAGUGACCACAGGCUUAGGGAACACAAUUAGUUCCCUAUGAAUUCCUAAAAGGCCCUCUGAAAAAGGACAAGUAUAAACAUGGUCAGACUGAGAAGACUGUAGUAAACACCUAAUUAUUAUUCAAUGCCCAAGUAUCAAUAUGUGUCAAGAAGCAUCCAGAAUAUUCACAGAAAUAUAACCUCACUAAACAGAAUAAAUUAGGCACAAGUGACCAAAUCUAGAGAGAUGGAGGUAUGUGAUCUCUUAGGUAUCUUAGAUAGGGAAUUUAAAAUAUGCAUUUUGAAAUAACAAACUUCAAGAAAACACAGAGAAAUAAUACAGAACAUAUCAGAUAACUUUAAAAGAGAGAUUGAAAUAAAAAAAAUGAAACUGAAAUCCUAAAGCUGAAAAAUACAGUAAAAAAAAAUAAAAUAAAAAAAUGCAUGAAAGGGUCUCUACAAAGGAAUUGACCAAGCAGAAUAAUCAGUAAUCUCAAAGACAGGCCAUUUGAAAAUACUGUCAGAAGAGAUAAAAGAAAAAUAAAGAAUGAAGUAAUCCCAGCACUUUCGGAGGAUGAGAUGAAUGGAUUGAUUGAGCCUAGGUGUUUACAAAAUUUUUACAAAAAGACUAAAAGACAAAACUAUUAAAAAGAUUAAUGCUUGCAACAAUUUGUUAAAGAAGACAAUUAAAAAAGAUGUAAAUAGAAAUAUCUAACAUCAAAAUGUGAAAGUAUUAAAGGUAAAAUGUACAGUUUUUUGUUUGCAUCUUUUAUUUGUGAUCAAAGUUAAGUUGUUAGCAUUUUAGAACAACUUGUUGUAACUAUAUUUUUAUUAGGCAUCAUGGUAGCCAUAAAGCAAAAGUCUAUAAUAGAUAUGCUGAAAAUACAAAGCAAGGAACCAAAAAAUACUACUAGAGGAAAGCAAUUAACCACAAAGGAAGGCAGUAAGAGAGGAAGAAAGAAAAAAGAGAUGUACAAAACAACCAGAAAACAAAUAACAAAAUAGCAGUAGUAAGACUUUACCUAUCAAUAGUAACAUUAAAUGUAAAUAGGUUAAUUCUCCAAUUAAAAGACAUAUAGUGGUUGAAUAAUAAUGAAUAAAACCCAAUUAUAUGCUGCCUACAAGAAACUCACUUGACCUAUAAAGACACACAUGAACUAAAAGUAAAAAAAAAAAUGGAAAAAGAUACUUUAUGCAAAUGAGCAUAAAAAGAGCAAGAGUAUCUAGACUAGUAUCAAUAAAAUAGACAUUAAAUCAAUCAUGGUAAGAAAGACAAAUAAGGUCAUUAUGUAAUGAUUAAGUGGUCAAUACAGCAAGAGGAUAUGACAAUUAAAAAUAUGUAUGCAUCCAACACUGGCGCACCUAAAUUUAUAAAGCAAACAUUAAUAGAGUUAAAGGGAGUUAAUGGCAGUACAAUAAUAGUAAGGAACAUCAGCACUCCACUUUCAGCAAUGGACAUAUCAUCCAGAUGAAAAAUAGAAAGAAAAUAUAUCAGAGUUAAACUGCACUCUAAAUGAAAUAGACCUAACAGACAUUUAGAGAAUAUUCCAUCCAACAGCUGUAGAAUAUACAUUUUUUCUCAACAACACAUGGAACACUGUCCAGGAUAGAUCAUAUGUUAGACCAGAAAACAAGUUUUAACACAUUUUAAAAAAUCAAAAUUUUCUUUAGUAUCUUUUUUGACCACAAUGGAAUAAAACAAGAAAUAAAUAACAGGAAGAACUUCAGAAACUGUACAAAUACAUGAAAAUUAACACAUGCAUGAACAACCAACAAAUCAAUUUAAACAUUAAAAAUGAAUUUAAAACAUUCCUGGGUACAUCCAACCAGUCAAGAUUGAGUCAGGAAAAAAUAGAAAACCUGAACAGACCAAUAAUAAGUAACACAAUUGAAGCAGUAAUAAAAUAUAUUCUAUCAAAAGAAAGCUCGAGGGCUAACAUUUUCACUACUGAAUUCUACCAAACAUUUAAAGAAGGACUAAUACCAAUUAUACUCGAACUAUUCCAAAAAAAUUAAAGAGGAGGAAAUACUUCCAAACUUAUUUUACAAAGACAGCAUUACCUUGGUACCAAUACCAGAUAAGGACACAAUAAAAAAAUAGAAACCUACAGGGUAAUCUAUCUAAUGAACAUAGAUGCAAAAAUACUCAACAAAAUACUAGCAAACCAAAUUCAACAACACUUUUAAAAGACCGUUUACCAUGAUCAAGUGGGAUUCACCCCAGGGAUGCAAGGAUGCUUCAACAUACACAAAUCAAUAAACAUGGUACAUCACAUUAACAGAAUCAAGGACAAGAGCCAUACGAUUAUUUCAAUAACUGCUGAAAGGCAUCUGUUAAAAUUUGGCAUUCUUUUAUGAUAAAAACUACCAACAAAUUGGGUAUAGAAGGAAUAUAUCUCAACAAAAUAAAAGCCAUAUAUGGCAAACUCACAGCUAAUAUUUUACUGAAUCAUGAAAAGUUAAAAGCUUUUAUUCUAAGAUCUGGAAUAAGAUCUAUAUGCAACUGUAAAUUAGUAUAGCCAUUUAAAAAAACAGUUUGGAGACUUCUCAGAAAGCAAAAAGUAGAACUGCCAUAUUAUGCAGCAGUCCUAAUAUUUGGUAUAUAUCUAAAAGUAAUGAAAUCAGCAUGUUAAAGAGAUACCUGCAUUCUCAUGUUUAUUGCAACACUAUUCACAAUAGCCAAGAAAUGAAAUCAACUUAAGUGCCUAUCUACAAAUAAAUGAAUAAAAAAGAUGAUAUAUACAUAUAUACACACACACAUAUGUAUAUAUACACAUAUAUUGUUUUAUAUGUGUAACAUUGCUUAUAUAUAACAUUGUUUCAUAUACCAUUGUUUAUAUGUGUACAUAAUAUAUAUAACAAUCAAAUAUGAUUUAGCCAUAGAAUAUAAUAAAAUCCUGUAAUUUGAAGCAAUGUGGAUGAAACUAGAGGACAUUAUGCCAAGUGAAAUAAGCCAGACACAGAAAGACAAAUACCAUGUGAUCUUACUUAUAUGUGGAAUCUGAAAACGUUUAUCUCAGGGAAGGAAGACUAAAUUCUGGUGCUCUAUUAUACAAAAGGGUGACUAUAGCUAAUAAUUAAUUGUAUAUUUCAAGAUAACUAGAAGAGAGGAUUUCGAGUGUUAUUCCAAAUUUGAAAAAUGUUUAAAGUGAUCAAUGAGCUAAUUACUCUGAUUUGAUCGUUACACUAUGUAUACCUGUAUUGAAACAUCACAGUGUAUCCCAUAAACAUGUACGAUGAUUUAGUUAUAAAUAAAAUACAACAUAAAAAGACAAAUAUUGUAUUCCUCAAAUACUUCACAUUUAGAUAUUUGGGUAUUAAUAUUAACCUAUUUAUAUAUUUCUAAAUUUUAUUUAAUAAUAUCUUUUUAUGAAUUUUGCAUCUAAGUUUAUGAGAUACAUUGACUUGUAUUUCUCCCCUCUUUUCAAACGUCCUUAUCAGAUUUAAAUAGACAUUAUCUGGCUCAUAAAAUCAGUGGAGAGUGUUUCCUUUUCUUUUCUUUUUCUUUUUAUUGGAAUUGUACGUAAUAUAGGAGUAAUUUCUUCAUUAAAAUAUGGAAAAAGUUUCCAGUGAAGCCAUCUGAGGCUUGAGUUUUCUUUGUGGGAAGAUUUUAAUUAAGAAUUUAAUUUAAUAGAUAUGACUAUUUACAUGUCCUAUUUUCUUAUGUCAGCUUUAACAAGGUAUGUUUUUCGAUGAUUUUUUUCUAUAUCACUCAAUUUUAUUUGCAAAAUAUUUUUCAUAAUUCUCUUUUAUUAUCUUUUAAUGUUUCUGUGAUUGGUAAUGCUGCCUCUUUUUAUUUCAUGAUUCAAUACAUUAUAACAUCUCUUUCCCUUUUUUCACCUUGAUUUGGCUUGUUAGGAGUUUAUCAAUUUUAUUCAUAUUUUCAAUGAACUAAAUUAUGUCUU
rnacentral:lncRNA from 10 species